GGCCCUUUGGAGAUGCCGUGGUGCUCACGGAGGACCGGGGGCACCCAGCACCCACCGACGCGUGCCCCCAACCCAGCACGGCUCCGCUCGGCUGCAGCAGCGCAGCGCUGGAAGCAGGUGCAGCGACAACGAGCGCAGCCGUCGCGGAGGACAUCGAUGAUCUGCUCACGUGGAUCAGCGAAGUGACAUCCAGUGCAGACAUCCCGGUCGACGCCGCGGAGAUCGAUGACAUCCUGACGUGGAUCAGCAACGGUGAGUUCAGGGGCUGCAGAGCAGGCGGGGAUGUCUGCACCGAGUGGCUGUGGGAAAGCUGGCGUUGCCCCUGUGCGGAUUUCCUUCCUUUUUCCAGAAGGGACACCCGGC